rnacentral:rRNA from 1 species
AACGAACGCUGGCGGCAUGCCUAACACAUGCAAGUCGAACGAGAUCUUCGGGUCUAGUGGCGCACGGGUGCGUAACGCGUGGGAAUCUGCCCUUUGGUUCGGAAUAACAGUUGGAAACGACUGCUAAUACCGGAUGAUGACGAAAGUCCAAAGAUUUAUCGCCAGAGGAUGAGCCCGCGUAGGAUUAGCUAGUUGGUGUGGUAAAGGCGCACCAAGGCGACGAUCCUUAGCUGGUCUGAGAGGAUGAUCAGCCACACUGGGACUGAGACACGGCCCAGAAUCCGACGGGAGGCAGCAGUGGGGAAUAUUGGACAAUGGGCGAAAGCCUGAUCCAGCAAUGCCGCGUGAGUGAUGAGGGCCUUAGGGUUGUAAAGCUCUUUUCCCCGAGAUGAUAAUGACAGUACCGGGAGAAUAAGCUCCGGCUAACUCCGUGCCAGCAGCCGCCGUAA